rnacentral:rRNA from 1 species
UACGGGGGGGGCAAGCGUUGUUCGGAAUUACUGGGCGUAAAGGGCUCGUAGGUGGCCAACUAAGUCAGACGUGAAAUCCCUCAGCUUAACUGGGGAACUGCGUCUGAUACUGGAUGGCUUGAGUUUGGGAGAGGGAUGCGGAAUUCCAGGUGUAGCGGUGAAAUGCGUAGAUAUCUGGAGGAACACCGGUGGCGAAGGCGGCAUCCUAGACCAACACUGACACUGAGGAGCGAAAGCCAGGGGAGCAAACGGG